UACGUAGGGGCGAGCGUUGUCCGGAGUUACUGGGCGUAAAGGGCAUGCAGGCGGUCCGACACGUUUUGUGUGACAGCGGGUGGCUUAACUACCCGAGGAUACGAAAGACGGUAGGACUUGAGGACUCGAGAGGGACACGGAAUUCCGGGUGGAGUGGUGAAAUGCGUAGAGAUCCGGAGGAACACCGAAGGCGAAGGCAGUGUCCUGGCGAGUGACUGACGCUGAGGUGCGAAAGCCAGGGGAGCGAACGGG
rnacentral:rRNA from 1 species